CCUACGGGUGGCAGCAGUGGGGACUAUUGGUCAAUGGGGGAAACCCUUAUCCAGCGACGCCGCGUGCGGGAAGACGGUUUUCGGAUUGUAAACCUCUGUCAGUGGGGACGAUAAUGACGGUACCCACGGAGGAAGCCACGGCUAAAUACGUGCCAGCAGCCGCGGUAAUACGUAGGUUGCAAGCGUUGUCCGGAAUUACUGGGUGUAAAGGGAGCGUAGGCGGGACGUCAAGUCAGAAGUGAAAAUUAUGGGCUCAACUCAUAAACUGCUUUUGAAACUGAUAUUCUUGAGUGAAGUAGAGGCAAGCGGAAUUUCUAGUGUAGCGGUGAAAUGCGUAGAUAUUAUGAGGAACACCGGUGGCGAAGGCAGCUUGCUGGGCUAUUACUGACGUUGAGGCUCGAAAGCGUGGGGAGCAAACAGGAUUAGAUACCCUUGUAGUC
rnacentral:rRNA from 1 species